ensembl:misc_RNA Metazoa_SRP Metazoan signal recognition particle RNA
GCUGGGUGUGGUGACGCAUGUCUGUAAUCCCAGCUACUCAGGAGGCUGAGGCAGGAGAAUUGCUUGAACCUGGGAGGUGGAGGUUGCAGUGAGCUGAGAUUGUGCCACUGCAUUCCAGCCUGGGUGACAGAGUGAGAUUCUGUCUCAA